rnacentral:rRNA from 1 species
UACGGGGGGAGCAAGCGUUGUUCGGAUUUACUGGGCGUAAAGGGCGCGUAGGCGGCCACCGCAAGUCGGGUGUGAAAACUUCAGGCUCAACCUGGAGCGGCCAUCCGAUACUGCUAUGGCUAGAGUCCGGUAGGGGACCACGGAAUUCCUGGUGUAGCGGUGAAAUGCGCAGAUAUCUGGAGGAACACCGGUGGCGAAGGCGGCAUCCUGGACCGGUAUUGACACUGAGGAGCGAAAGCUAGGGGAGCAAACGGG